GAUGAACGCUGGCGGCGUGCUUAACACAUGCAAGUCGAACGAUGAAGCCCAGCUUGCUGGGUGGAUUAGUGGCGAACGGGUGAGUAACACGUGAGUAACCUGCCCUUGACUCUGGGAUAAGCCUGGGGAACUGGGUCUAAUACUGGAUAUGACUUCUCAUCGCAUGGUGGGGGGUGGAAAGAUUUAUUGGUCUUGGAUGGACUCGCGGCCUAUCAGCUUGUUGGUGAGGUAAUGGCUCACCAAGGCGACGACGGGUAGCCGGCCUGAGAGGGUGACCGGCCACACUGGGACUGAGACACGGCCCAGACUCCUACGGGAGGCAGCAGUGGGGAAUAUUGCACAAUGGGCGCAAGCCUGAUGCAGCGACGCCGCGUGAGGGAUGACGGCCUUCGGGUUGUAAACCUCUUUCAGUAGGGAAGAAGCGAGAGUGACGGUACCUGCAGAAGAAGCGCCGGCUAACUACGUG
rnacentral:rRNA from 1 species